GCCCAGUGCCGGAAGACUACUGCUCCCGGCAUGCCAUGCCAAGCAACAUGGCCGCCCGGAAGCCAAGCGCCGGAAGACUACUGCUCCCGGCAUGCCAUGCCAGGCAACCUGGCCGCCCGGAAGCCCAGUGCCGGAAGGCAGAAGCUUCCUCGACACUCGAAUCGAGCAGAUAUCGCGGCGGAGGAACGGGCUUUCCAUUUCCAGCAGAGGAAGACAGCUCGCUGUUGAUUCCAUUUGAUUUUAUUACUUCAGCUUGCUCACAUUUUUCUGGUCUCUUCAGCUUCAGCCAUGGCAAUUAAUCUAAAAAAUUCCUUUUAUGCUUGGAUGCUGGCCUCACAGGUGAUGACCCAAAUGAACAACUGGAUCACUAGGUCUAGCUGCUUCUCUUCAAGAUGUGCCCCUUCAGUGGACUACCCUGUCAAACAAACCAGAAAGACUGAUGGGGCUGUGAGGGUAUCAGAUUUUUGGACCACUUCUCCGAAGCCUUCAGGGUGACUGACAUAACCACCUCUCUUCACAUUACUCAAAGCUACAUUCAUCUAUUACUUUGGACUAAGCUGUUUCUAUUUUAAGAGGGGACUGUUGCUUGUUUAAGCUUUACAUACGGUCCAUUACCUGCUAUGCAUCAUCUCUAGUCCCUUCUGCUUUCGCAACACUUUCAGUAACUCGAGGUGAUAAUUAUUCACUGUGGUGGUAUUCGAGGUGGUAUAAUCAUUGUCAUCCUAUAGGCUGCAGUAAGACAUUUCUCCUGCUCUGAGAAUGUGCCUAAAAGACAUGCUGCUUUCUCUAGCAUCACUGGGGCUUCCCAGAGCCCAUCAGCGUUCUCUUAGGCUUUUCCCGAGCCUUUGAUUUUUGUAGUUUAUUCCUUAGCCUGCAAUUUUAUGUUAAAGUUCUCCUUAAGCAUUGCGCACAGCACAAUUAUCCCAGAUCAGCCACAUCGUGCACGUACAGAGGCUUCCGAGAGGUGACUCAGAAGAAAAGAGAGAAAACGUGGUCUGUCACCUGUACAUCCACCUGUCAACACUCUUCACCAGGAAGUGCUGUAAACACCCUUUUCUCUAAAGUGGGACUGAGUCAAGGAGGAGACACAGAUCGCAUCUCAUCUUUAUUAAAACAUCUCACUGCUGUGGGGACCGCA